AUAAUUAGUACAUGAUCACCGGCACGCGGGCUCAGCCUAGACGCUAUCCAGCGGUGAAAAGAAAUGAGGCUUCGAUCGAGCGGGCGAGAGAAGAAAAAGGAAAAUAACCCCGGCAAAAUUUAGCAUCGAAUGAUAAGAAAAUCUUAUAAAAAUCGCCGAAUAUUGGCGAGAAAGAUUUCCGGCUCGUGCGCGUCGAACCAAAGAGGGCCCACACCACACCACGCCGACCGAACCCUCGUCGCCGCCGAGCCAACCACGCCACACGCUUCCCCCUCCGGCCCGCCGCCUCCCGCCGAGCUGAUCCGUGUGCCCACCCGUCUCCGCAGCUCGCUCUCCGACCCUGCCCCGCUGCAGGGAUGGCGUCGAGCGGGGGCACGCCCGGACUCGCCGGAAAUGUUGCCCUGAACACCCGGAGCGGAUUGGUCGUCUGUCUUCGAUUCGAAAGCAGCGUAUAUUUCACACUAGCCCUUUUUGGCUUCGUUUUCUCGAUUCUUAUGGUUUUUCUUCUGGUGUUAUUAGUUCAGUUCGUGAAGAAAAAAACAUAUUUUAUUAGGGAAACUAUGAAAGAGUUCCACGGAAAAAAAAAAGGUGAAGACGAUGUAGCACACUUUUUCUUUGGUGUUUAAAAGGAAAUUCUGAACUUCCAACUGAGAUAGAUUGGUUUUGAAUGUAUACAAAUGCAAGAUUCCAUGUCUGCGUAACUUUAUGAUAAUGUGGGGGGAAAAUGAUUUUACAUGAAGCGAUCAAAUGGUUAUCCGCGUUAAAAAUUUAUUUUGGAUGGCUCUUGAUUUGUGAGCAAGACUUGCAUUAUUAUCCGCGUUUAGUGUUUCCAGUUAAUUGUGUGCCAGCAGCAAGCCAGCAAAUCAA